rnacentral:antisense_RNA from 1 species
AGAAUCCUGCAAUAUGUCCUUGGAAGGUUUCUGCUGAAAAUUUCAACGCCUCCUGCAAAAAGAAGGAAGAGAAAGAAAAGGAGAAAACAGAGGCAGAGGAUAUUUCCCUAGAAGAGAUUCUGUGAAACGCUCCCUCUUAUGGAAACACACGUAAAAUCUGUCUCUUGCCUGUCUUCCCGUUGAAGAUCAACCAGUUAGUUCUCCCGCCAGGUUUGAGGACCCGGGCUCAGGCCCUGGCAGGUAUCCGGGAAGGUCCCUCUCCCUAACCCGGGCGAGGAGCAUCGGUGACCGCUGCAAGCCCUCGGCAGCAUCCCAGCUUGGCAGCCCCUCCCCCUGGCCUCCCCAACCCGGCGCCCUGGGGAGGAUGGGGCACUUACAGGCGGCGACUGAGCCCCUCUACCGAGCGCCCGCAGGAGGGCACCGCGUAGCUCAGCAGGAACACCGCGACGCUCCACUGCUGAACCAGUCUCCGCUGCAUCUUCUCCGCUCGCGCUCGGGACCUGCAACAGAAGGGAAUGGGACCCGAGUGUCAGUCUGGACUCUCCAUCUCCCCGCACUACUCCGCUCCCCCUUUUUAGCCCGCUCUCAAAAAGCCUCUUCAACAUCAAGGGCAUCUCCCAAGUUGAAAAGAAAAAAAAUUUCUCUGGAGCCUCUCAGCACUUACUUAUUUAGCAACCGGCUACUCCAACUGUGCUUUCUCCAAACCACACAGCCAGAAAGAGCAAAAAGGGAAAAAAGAAACAAAUCAGAGGCGCUUCCUCUGAAAUAAUAGAGAAAAUGAAAUGGUUUUAUAUAUG